GUGGGGAAUAUUGGACAAUGGGCGCAAGCCUGAUCCAGCAAUGCCGCGUGAGUGAAGAAGGCCUUAGGGUUGUAAAGCUCUUUCGGCGGGGAAGAUGAUGACGGUACCCGCAGAAGAAGCCCCGGCUAACUCCGUGCCAGCAGCCGCGGUAAUACGGAGGGGGCUAGCGUUGUUCGGAAUUACUGGGCGUAAAGGGCGCGUAGGCGGUGCGGUAAGUUAGGCGUGAAAGGCCCGGGCUCAACCCGGGAACUGCGCUUAAAACUGCCGCGCUCUGAGUCCGAGAGAGGAUAGCGGAAUUCCCAGUGUAGAGGUGAAAUUCGUAGAUAUUGGGAAGAACACCAGUGGCGAAGGCGGCUAUCUGGCUCGGUACUGACGCUGAGGCGCGAAAGCGUGGGGAGCAAACAGGAUUAGAUACCCUAGUAGUCC
rnacentral:rRNA from 1 species